CGGCCGCGGUAUCCUGACCGUGCAAAGGUAGCAUAAUCACUUGUUCCUUAAUUAGGGACUAGCAUGAACGGCUAAACGAGGAUUCAACUGUCUCUUAUCUUUAANUCAGUGAAAUUGACCUUUCAGUGAAGAGGCUGAAAUACUAAAAUAAGACGAGAAGACCCUAUGGAGCUUAAAUUAAAAGUUUAAUUUUUAACUACCUAACCUAAUGGCACAACAUAAAAACUUUAAACUCAGAAUUUCGGUUGGGGUGACCUCGGAGAACAAAAAAUCCUCCGAAUGAUUAUAACACAGACCAACAAGUCAAAGUAACUUAACAAUCUUAUUGACCCAAAAACAUUUUGAUCAACGGACCAAGUUACCCUAGGGAUAACAGCGCAAUCCUAUUUUAGAGUCCAUAUCGACAAUAGGGCUUACGACCUCGAUGUUGGAUCAGGACAUCCCAAUGGCGCA
rnacentral:rRNA from 1 species